rnacentral:misc_RNA from 1 species
UCUGGAGCGUGGUUCCGCGCGGCUCUUUUAAAAACGGAGACAACUUAAGGAAGUAUCUCUCCUAAGAGGCGAAAAAAGACAAGGAAACCGUUCCCCCGGCCGUCGGUAAAGCGGUCUUUGGUCCUGUCGCAACACAUACAGCGGCCCUUGGCGCCGCCCCUGACCCUCCGUGAGUCCGUAUUGAAAAACGGACGGCGGAUCUCAGGCCAGGCCAGAGGGAGCCGUCUGACCCAGUCCUUUAGCUCAGUUGGUUAGAGCGCUACACUGAUAAUGUAGAGGUCGGCAGUUCAACUCUGCCAAGGACUACCGGACGAAAACCACCUGCCGCGGUCCUAACGGGCACGGCAGGAACCAAGAAACGAGUACAUUGACAUACUGGAGAAGCGGUGUAGGUAACGCUACACUGCGAGCAGACACAAAAGAGUAGAACACAACGAGCGCCGCAUCGAGACGCUCCCGGGGGCUCCAAGAAGCACCGGGAAGCGGCAAGAUACGGUAAAGCAAAGGCAAGGCGAAAAUAAACCAAUAAGUCUUAGACUUCUUGAAACGUACAACGGGACGAGAAGGGCGCAUGGGGGAUGCCUUGGCUCUCGGAGGCGAAGAAGGACGUGACAAGCUGCGAUAAGCCAUGCGUAGGGGCAAAUACCCAUUGAUGCGUGGAUUUC